UUUCAAGAAGCAGGGCAAGCCUAACAACAAGGGCAACUUCAAGAAGGGCGGCAAGAAAGUUGUUGCGCCUCCGGAGAAGCCCAAGGCUGGCCCUAAGCCUGAUACUGUGUGCUAUUACUGCCAGGGGAAGGGGCACUGGAAGCGCAAUUGCCCCAAAUACUUGGCCGAUCUGAAGAGCGGCCACGUCAAAAAGAAAGGAACUGCGGAAUAGACGAAGCCUGGCAAGAGACGAGGUGACGAUGCGCGUUGGAAAUGGAUCCAAAGUCGAUGUGAUCGCCGUCGGCACGCUCCCUCUACAUCUACCUUCGGGAUUAGUUUUAAACCUUAAUAAUUGUUAUUUGGUACCUGCGUUGAGCAUGAACAUUAUAUCUGGAUCUUGUUUAAUGCAAGACGGUUAUUCGUUUAAA